CGACCUGAGCUCAGGCAAGAUUACCCGCUGAACUUAAGCAUAUCAUUAAGCGGUGGAAAAGAAACUAACAAGGAUUCCCCUAGUAACGGCGAGCGAACCGGGAAUAGCCCAACUUGAAAAUCUCCCUUUGGAGAAUUGUAGUCUAGAGAAGCGCCCUCAUGGACUGGCGGAACUCAAGUCGGAUCGAAUGCCGCGUCAGAGAGGGUGAUAACC
rnacentral:rRNA from 1 species